GCCACAAUGCCGCUGCAAAAUAGCCUCGGGAAGGAACUUUAGGUGGAACGUGUUUGUUCAAAAGUUGUUUUAGGAUAUGUUCACACUUGGUGUCUUUUUUGACAAGAAAAGGUUGACUGCGGCUCUUUUGUAAUGA